rnacentral:rRNA from 1 species
UGAUACUUGGUGUGGUUGUUGCUGGCCUCUCGGGGAUAUGUGCACAGCCCAUCAUCCUCUCUCUCCACGUGUGCACCUCUUGGUAGCCUGGAUUGAUUUCCGAGGCAACUCGCCUUGGAAGAUUGCUGCGCUCUGUCAGCCACCUUUCUUUGCAUGACCAGGACUAUGUUUUUCAUAUACCCCUAUAGAAUGUAACUGAAUGUAUCAUUGGGCCUUGUGCCUAUAAACAUUAUACAACUUUCAGCAACGGAUCUCUUGGCUCUCGCAUCAAUGAAGAGCGCAAUGAAAUGCGAUAAGUAAUGUGAAUUGCAGAAUUCAUUGAAUCAUCGAAUCUUUAACCGUCCUUCGCUCCCUGGUAUUCCGAGGAGCAUGCCUGUGUGAGUGUCAUUAAAUUCUCAACCUUAUUAGCCGUUGUGGACAAUGGAUUGGAUGUGGGGGUUUCUUUUGCUGGCUUCCUCACAGAAAUCAGCUCCCCUUAAAUGCUUUGUGGCGUCACGAGCGUGAUCAAUAUAUGGUGUGAUAAUUUUCUACCACGUGGAUGUCUGCAAAAAUAUGGGGUUUGAACUCCUACUAACCGUCUGUUCAAUUCGGACAAUACAUGACAAUUUGACCUCAAAUCAGGUAGGACUACCCGCUGAACUUAAGCAUAUCAAUAAGCGGAGGAAAAGAAACUAACUAAGGAUUCCCCUAGUAACUGCGAGUGAAGCGGGAAGAGCUCAAAUUUAAAAUCUGGCGGUCUCCUGCUGUCCGAGUUGUAAUCUAGAAGAAGUGUUAUCCUGCGGUGGACCGUGUCAAGUCUCCUGGAAUGGAGCGCUUAAG